rnacentral:tRNA from 1 species
CUCGCUCUGGGUCUCCGUCGGGGGAGGCGGGGGGGCCUGCUUGGCCUUUCGGUCGGUCGCGGCCGAGAAGGCCCCGUUCGACGCGGAGGAGAGAAGC